GUGUCACUUUAGCAGCACAUAUACUAAACUUGAAAUGAUACGGAGAUUAGCAUGGUCCCUGUGCAAGAAUGACGUGCAAAUUCAUAAAGUGUUCUAUAUUUUU
ensembl:snRNA U6 U6 spliceosomal RNA